rnacentral:rRNA from 1 species
UACGUAGGGGGCUAGCGUUGUCCGGAUUUAUUGGGCGUAAAGAGCUCGUAGGUGGUUCGGUAAGUCAGGUGUGAAACCUCCAGGCUCAACCUGGAGACGCCACUUGUAAUACUGCUGUGACUGGAGUCCGGUAGGGGAGCGUGGAAUUCCUGGUGUAGACGGUGAAAUGCGCAGAUAUCAGGAGGAACACCAGCGGCGAAGGCGGCGCUCUGGGCCGGUACUGACACUGAGGAGCGAAAGCGUGGGGAGCGAACAGG